CCUACGGGAGGCAGCAGUGGGGAAUAUUGCGCAAUGGGCGAAAGCCUGACGCAGCGACGCCGCGUGAGGGAUGAAGGUCUUCGGAUCGUAAACCUCUGUCAGCAGGGAAGAACGGUCACUGUGCUAAUCAGCAGUGAAUUGACGGUACCUGCAAAGGAAGCACCGGCUAACUCCGUGCCAGCAGCCGCGGUAAGACGGAGGGUGCGAGCGUUAAUCGGAAUUAAUGGGCGUAAAGCGCUCGACGGCGGUAUGUCAAGUCAAGGGUGAAAUCCCCGCGCUCAACGUGGGAACUGCCUUUGAAACUGGCAAACUGGGGUGUGUGAGAGGAUAGUGGAAUUCCAGGUGUAGGAGUGAAAUCCGUAGAUAUCUGGAGGAACAUCAGUGGCGAAGGCGACUAUCUGGCACAUAACUGACGCUGAGGAGCGAAAGCGUGGGUAGCAAACAGGAUUAGAUACCCCAGUAGUC
rnacentral:rRNA from 1 species